rnacentral:rRNA from 1 species
CAUUCACGGAGAGUUUGAUCCUGGCUCAGGACGAACGCUGGCGGCGUGCUUAACACAUGCAAGUCGAACGAUGAAGCCCUUCGGGGUGGAUUAGUGGCGAACGGGUGAGUAACACGUGGGCA